rnacentral:misc_RNA from 1 species
AAUUCUUCACGCCUCGAUUCC